rnacentral:pre_miRNA from 1 species
AGUGGAAUUGCUGGGUCAUAUGGUAACUCUGUGUUUAACUUUUGGAGGAACUGCCAAACUGUUUUCCAAAGUGGCUCUACUGCUUUACCUUCCCACGAGCAAU